rnacentral:rRNA from 1 species
UACGAAGGGGGCUAGCGUUGCUCGGAAUUACUGGGCGUAAAGCGCACGUAGGCGGCUUCUUAAGUCGGUGGUGAAAUCCUGGAGCUCAACUCCAGAACUGCCUUCGAUACUGGGAAGCUCGAGUCCGGGAGAGGUGAGUGGAACUGCGAGUGUAGCAGUGAAAUGCGUAGAUAUCGAGAGGAACACCAGUGGCGAAGGCGAGUCCCUGGACAACUCCUGACACUGAGGCACGAAAGCUAGGGGAGCAAACAGG